rnacentral:rRNA from 1 species
CUCGUAGGCGGUUCGUCGCGUCCGGUGUGAAAGUCCAUCGCUUAACGGUGGAUCCGCGCCGGGUACGGGCGGGCUUGAGUGCGGUAGGGGAGACUGGAAUUCCCGGUGUAACGGUGGAAUGUGUAGAUAUCGGGAGGAACACCAGUGGCGAAAGCGGCCUCCUGGACCAUUCCUGACACUCAGACGCGAAAGCUAGGGUAGCAAACG